GUAGCACAUGUACUCUUAGAGAAAUUCAAUAAUAAACGAAGUGAAUUGAAAUAUCUUAGUAACUUCAGGAAAAGAAAUCAAACGAGAUUCUAUGAUUAGUGUGAAUGAAAGUAGAACAGCCUUAUAUUAAAUAAGUAAAACGGGCAAUAACCUGUUUGAACACAAGGGGAACCUUCCUCUAAGGCUAAAUAUAAUACAUAAGCGAUAGCGUAAAGUACUGUGAAGGAAAGGUUGAAAUAGUAGUUUUAUAAGCAGCUCAAGUUUAAAUAAACAGUAAGAGCGUACCUUUUGCAUAAUGGGUCAGCAAGUUAAUAUUAGAUGCGAGCAGUAAUGCCUAGAUAAACCAAUUAUGAAAUAAUGAAUUAGUAUCUAAAAUUAGACCCGAAGCCUAGUGAUCUUACCAUGGUCAGGGUUAUAAAAGCCCGAACGGUUUAUCGUUGUAAAGAUAUCCGAUGAACUGUGGUAAGUUAGUGAAAGACAAAACUGACUAGGAUAGCUGGUUUUCUGCGAAACCUAUAUAAGUAGGUAAUUCAAGUUACAUCAUAGCAGGUACAGAACUGUGAUCUCAGGCAACUUAUAAAUUUUUAUCUAGGCAUUGCCUAGAUAAAUAUUAAUUUUGCAUAUAUCGGGGAAUCGUGAGGAUUUUAUCGGUGAGUAUUCGCACUCGGAAGGGCAAUGAUGAAUUAUUGAAUAAUCGGACAUAGUACGAUAAGGUUGUAUGUUCUAAAGGGAAACAGCCCAGAACAAGAGUUAAGGUUCCAAAAUUAUUGUUAAGUGAAACUAAGGAAGUUUCUAUCUAAUACAACUAGGAAAUAGGCUUAGAAGCGGCUAUUUUUUGAAGACCUCGUAACAGAGCACUGGUUUAGUAAACAAAACUUUAUAUUGAUAGUUGCACCGAAAAUUUAACGGAUCUAAACAAUAUACCGACACUUUGUCCAUAAUGUUAAAUAUAACAUAGAAUUUAACUAUGGGGUAGCAGAACGUUGGGUAUAUCUUAGAUAUAUUCUUUUUAAGAAUAUGUAAAUAACACGGUCACGCGUUUAGAUAUCCCAAGUGAGAAUGCUGACAUGAGUAACGAAAAAGGGAUAUCCCUCGCCUAAAGCUUAUGGAUUUAUUAAAGUAACGGCCUCUAAGUUUACUAACCUAAAGGAUUAAACGAUGAGUAAACCUUACCUACAAAGUAACAACAUCUUCUAGGCUAAAUAAACCGUACCUAAAUACUACCACAAGUAAGCAAGUAGAGAAUACGAAGGCGUUUGAGUGAACAAUCAUUAAGGAACUCGGCAAACUAACUACCGUAACUUCGGGAUAAGGAGAGCCAUUCUUACUUAUUAGUAUAAGGUAAAGAAUAGGAAGCAUGGAAUAGUGUUGUGCGACUGUUUAAUUAAAACAAAGCACUUUGCAAUAAGAUAAUAAAUCAAAGUAUUGAGUGUGAUUUCUGCCCAAUGUCGGCUGGUUAACGGAUUUUUUAGGUUGACUAAUAUAAGCUUGGAUUUGAAGGAAACCCCGAUCAAUGGCGGCCUUACCUAUGAGGGUCCUAAGGUAGCGGAAUACCCUGGCCGUUAAAUGCGGUCUUGCAUGAAUGAUUUAACGAUGCAACAGCUGUCUCAAUGAUUGGCUCAGUGAAAUUGGAAUAACUGUGCAGAUACAGUUUACCUCUAGAUAGACGAGAAGACCCUAUGCAGCUUUACUGUUGCUAGUUAUUGAAUAUGAUUGAACCAAUAUUAGUGUAUAAGGUAGUUGGAGGCAAUUUUUUAAACCUCGUUCAGGCAAAAUUGAAACACCUUUAUUUUGUUUAUCAUAUUCGUAGGCUAUAGAGUCUACGUCAUAAUAUAAGGUGCGCCGUUGCAGAGGCGUUACUAAGUAUUAUAAUUAACCCAUCAAAUGGGAACAAUGGCUAGGAGGCAGUUUAUGCGGGGCACAGAUCCCAUAAAAAGUACCUGGGUGUAUCCAAAGUUAAUAUUGUAAAAUUGUCAUGACUUACUUAUGACAAUUAAACAUACAAUUGCCCCCCCCCCUACGAAGUAGGGGGGGGGGUAAUUGUAUGUUUUUAUUUUUAGUUUGUUAUUGGUUUAGCUUAAGCUAUAACUAAUCCAACUAUAUAUCUAUUAAGUUAGAAUUAAUAUUUUAAUUUAAGUAAGAUUUUAACUAUAUGGGAAAUAGAUGUAAUUAAAACAUUAAUUUGAAAGUACUUUUCUUUUCUAAUGUUUUUAGUUAUAUAAUUAGUUUAAGUUACACUUUUUAUAUAAUUAUGUUUAUUACUUGUCAAGUUUAAUGGCUUAAUCUUGCUUUACUGUUUGACUUACACGUCUAUCAGUCGCGUAAGCGGGGCAUAUGAUCACAAGAUGCAGAAAGGAAAGGUCUUGGAUUUUUGAAAAAGCUACGCUAGGGAUAACAGGCUAAUUGCGCCAGAGAGUACAAAUUGAGUGCGCAGUUUGGCACCUCGAUGUGUCGGCUUAACUUAUCCACAUGAAUGCAGGAAUCAUGAAGGGUUCGACUGUUCGUCGAUUAAAAAGUUACACGAGCUGGGUUAAAUACGUCGUGAGACAGUAUGGUUUCUAUCUUCUAGAGGAAAUUAGAAUAAAAUAAGGACAGCCCCCUCGUACGAAAGGAGCUGGGUAUAUUAACCUAUGGUUUACCUGUUGUUUAUGUGCCCAAUAUAUUCUCAAUAUACUAAUAUAGAUGAGCGAAUAGGGAUGUUACUUUCACUUAAGUAAAUAUUUUGAAACCUAGCAUAGGCACGGCAGGAACGCUAAGUUAGUUAGAGAUAAGUGCUGAAUGCAUCUAGGCACGAAACUUACCUUAAGAUAUUCUUAAAUAUACGUAGUUGAACACUACGAUU
rnacentral:rRNA from 1 species